rnacentral:misc_RNA from 1 species
UCGUAACAAGGUUUCCGUAGGUGAACCUGCGGAAGGAUCAUUAGUGAUUGCCAUCUUGGCUUAAACUAUAUCCAUCUACACCUGUGAACCGUUUGAUUGAAUCUCUGAUUCAAUUUUACAAACAUUGUGUAAUGAACGUCAUUAGAUCAUAACUAAAAAAAACUUUUAACAACGGAUCUCUUGGCUCUCGCAUCGAUGAAGAACGCAGCGAAAUGCGAUAAGUAAUGUGAAUUGCAGAAUUCAGUGAAUCAUCGAAUCUUUGAACGCAACUUGCGCUCUCUGGUAUUCCGGAGAGCAUGCCUGUUUGAGUGUCAUGAAAUCUCAACCAUUAGGGUUUCUUAAUGGCUUGGAUUUGGAGGUUGCCAUUCUGAAUGGCUCCUCUCAAAAGAGUUAGCGAGUUUAACUAUUGCUAUCUGGCGUAAUAAGUUUCGCUGGAAUGGUAUUGUGAAGCGCGCUUCUAAUCGUCUUCGGACAAUUACUUUGACUCUGGCCUCAAAUCAGGUAGGACUACCCGCUGAACUUAAGCAUAUCAAUAAGCGGAGGAAAAGAAACUAACAAGGAUUCCCUUAGUAACGGCGAGUGAACCGGGAAGAGCUCAAAUUUGAAAUCUGGCUGUCUUCGAUAGUCCGAGUUGUAAUCUAUAGAAGCGUUUUCCGUGCUGAACUGUGUAUAAGUCCCUUG